AGCGAACGCUGGCGGCAGGCUUAACACAUGCAAGUCGAGCGGGCACUUUCGGGUGUCAGCGGCGGACGGGUGAGUAACGCGUGGGAACGUGCCCUCUGGUUCGGAAUAACUCAGGGAAACUUGAGCUAAUACCGGAUACGCCCUUUUGGUGAAAGGCUUGCUGCCGGAGGAUCGGCCCGCGUCUGAUUAGCUAGUUGGUGAGGUAACGGCUCACCAAGGCGACGAUCAGUAGCUGGUCUGAGAGGAUGAUCAGCCACACUGGGACUGAGACACGGCCCAGACUCCUACGGGAGGCAGCAGUGGGGAAUAUUGGACAAUGGGCGCAAGCCUGAUACAGCCAUGCCGCGUGAGUGAUGAAGGCCUUAGGGUUGUAAAGCUCUUUUAUCCGGGACGAUAAUGACGGUACCGGAGGAAUAAGCCCCGGCUAACUUCGUG
rnacentral:rRNA from 1 species